rnacentral:rRNA from 1 species
UACGUAGGGUGCAAGCGUUAAUCGGAAUUACUGGGCGUAAAGCGUGCGCAGGCGGUUUUGUAAGUCUGUCGUGAAAGCCCCGGGCUCAACCUGGGAAUUGCGAUGGAGACUGCAAGGCUUGAAUCUGGCAGAGGGGGGUAGAAUUCCACGUGUAGCAGUGAAAUGCGUAGAGAUGUGGAGGAACACCGAUGGCGAAGGCAGCCCCCUGGGUCAAGAUUGACGCUCAUGCACGAAAGCGUGGGGAGCAAACAGGAUAGA